rnacentral:misc_RNA from 1 species
AUCUUUUUUUAUUACAAUAAAAAAAAUUUGAUUCAUGUAAGAGUGGCAAGAAUUUCGCAUUAACCUUGGCUAAAAAGCCAGGUUAAGCUAAAAUUAAUAAUGAUCCUUCCGCAGGUUCACCUACGGAAA